UCAGAUUGGCCUGUGGACAUUUCUACAGAGUAUUUUCUUGACUAAGGAUUGAUACAGGAGGGUCCAGGUUGUAGGCGGUGCCAUCCUUAGGUAGGUGGUCCUGGCUGUGUAAGAAAGCAGGCUGAAUAAGGAGAGUGAGCAAGCCAGCAAGCAGCGUUCCUCCAUGGCUUCUGUGUCUGCCUUGAGCUCCUCGCCUUGACUUCAGUGAUGGCCUGUAGCCGGGCAUUUGUGCUGCCGGAGACCUGGCUGGACAUCUCAUUGGCAAGCCACAAGUGACAUGAGCGAGUUUUGCAGAAUUUCAACCGCAUGCGCGGAUUUGGAUAAUGUAUUCUUUCAGAAGCCGGGGCUGAGCUUUAAACAAAGCAUAAUCCUGCCUGCAUAUCAAUUUCCCCAGGAUGGUGGAGAGGGAAAGGGAAAAAAAGCCCAGAACUACAGCGCUUUCUGCAGCCUCAUCUCCACGUGGGGUUUAGCAGUGGGGACUUCCGAGCAGCGUUUGCAGUCUCCUGGUUCAUUAACAGGAGCACAAGGCAGGCAGGGGAAAGGUGGGGAGUGAAUCAUAAAAUAUGAAAGGACUUCCCUGGAAAUUGGCAUCAAUUUGAUUUAUUCAAUCCAGAUCCAGGCUCAACUAUUUGAAAAUAAUUAAAUAGUUGAUACCCGCUGCCACUUCUAAAUGAUGGGAAGGUGGGCUGGGGGGGGGGGGGGGAAUGAAGGAGGUAGGAGGAGGAGGAAUUCGGAUGCCCCAGCCUUCCAGAAGAGGUGAGAGACUUCUCCCUGGGCGCCCUUCUAUAGCUUCCGGUCUCUUCUCCCAGGAUGCUCCUCUCACAGUCCUGCUUCGCCGACCACCGACCACCGUGUGUCAGCACAUAUAAAGGCCCAGACAAGUAUAUCAUCUGAACAUAGUCUGAAGGUUGUUUCACUUCUUCUACUGCUGGGAAUUAGGCUAUAGGCGGUGUUUGUCACAGCCAAGUGACUUUGCCACCAUGUACAUAUCCAGAUGCGUGUGAUCAUUGUGUGCACAGAACUCCCAGCACUGACAACACAAAGUCUCAAUAUGGGACCUGUCAGAAUUUUCUGUAUUGUUGUAAGUAUUACAUUGAAUAACCACAGACCUAUCUGGUAACUUCAACUUGUGUAGCAGGAAAAAUAAACAAAUCUGAAUGAA